AACGCGAAGAACCUUACCUACCCUUAACAUCCCAAGACAAUCACAGAGAUGUGACUUUCCUUUCGGGGACUUGGUGAUAGGUGCUGCAUGGCUGUCGUCAGCUCGUGUCGUAAGAUGUCUGGUUAAGUCCAAUAACGAGCGCAACCCCUGUUUCUAGUUACCAGCAUUAAGUUGGGGACUCUGGAAAGACUGCCGGUGUUAAACCGGAGGAAGGCGGGGAUGACGUCAAGUCCUCAUGGCCCUUACGGGUAGGGCUACACACGUACUACAAUGGCAGAAACAAACCGUUGCGAAACCGUGAGGUGGAGCCAAUCGGUAAAACACUGUCUCAGUUCGGAUUGAAGUCUGCAACUCGACUUCAUGAAGCUGGAAUCGCUAGUAAUCGCUGAUCAGCAAGCAGCGGUGAAUACGUUCCCGGGCCUUGUACACACCGAGACGUA
rnacentral:rRNA from 1 species